AUUGUGGUGCACAGCCAAGUGAGGAGGUGCCUCGGUUAGAGUCCUGGUCCAAUGGAACACGGCCCAGCUUGGUCGCAAUGUGCGCGCUUGGCCAAUGGCGCACGCCCCCUCCUGCUCACAUGACGCCUUUCUAUAUGUUGCUUCUCCUCGCAGCGCUCAAUAGCGACCAGCCCAGGCAUCAUUGCAGACUUGACACCGGCCAAAUCGGACGACAAGCAUCUACGGUAUGUGCAGUGACAAUUUGUGCUUGAAAAAAAAAAAGAGAAAAGAAUAGAAAAAAAAAACAUCUUAUGAAGAUGUGCACAUGACUCUCACUGCCGAAGAAGGAAAGACUUUUUUCCGCAAGCAGACGGCCGGAGACGCACGGGGGCGAGACAUAAACGCCCAUAAGUUGCUGAAAUGAAUCGUCAUGUACAGGGCUGCCAUAAGAGGAAGAAGAAAAAAAGAAGCUCCAAAUGCCUCCAACAUGGAGGGGGGAAGAAGGGAUGCACCCAGAGACGAACAUGACAAGGAAAAGACAACCAUGAUGAAAGAGAGGUCCAGACAUGAUGGAGGCACGCACACACAUACAAAGGCACCUUGGGUCUGUCGGCGGUCUAACGCCAGCAUACCACCCCCACCAGGCACCAAUAGACAAGGCAACAUUCCAGCUGUGGUGAGACUGAGGAAGUCAAGACGCAUACACACACACACACACACACACACACACACACACACACACACACACACACACACACACACACACACACACACACACAAGGCCAGAGGUACGUGAGCAGAUGAGCAUUAAGUCAGGCAACUAAACAGAUCGGUUUGAUAUCAGCAGACAGACAGAGGAAGCCAGUCUAUACCUGCGGGCAGUCAGCAGCACCCUCACCAGGAAUGUCCUCCCACUUGUGAGACACAUAAAUGUAGCUGGGCUUUCCUCUCAAACAUCUACGUGAUCUGGUCUUCAAAUUUAUAGCAGUCAUCAGAAAUGUAUUUUGCAUUUAGAACAGCAAAUCUACAACGAUGGAAAGAUAAAAACAGAAUUAUCAACAAAACCAUUGCUUUAAUUAUUGGGAAACAAACGUUUUAAAGUAACACUAUCAUUCUACCUUAUAAUCAAGCUUUAUAACCACUGGUUGUAGACUGGCUGCCAUGGCAACCCAGCAUGACCUGCUAUUUGUGGUCAUUAUAAAGGUAGAACAAAGAAUAUCACCCACAUAAUGAACUCGAAUAUAAAAAGAAAGAAAAGCCUCUGUAUUGAAAUUAUAUUAGCACACAUUCACAUGCUACUCUGAUACUGACUACAGGCACUCCCUUUUGUUACUUUGGAGUAAUUUGAUCAUCCCUGCAUGAAUUUGUCUGUCUGGAAUUACGAGGACGUUCCAACGAGGUAACUGGUAUCAAUUGGGGAAACUUUGACGGUAUCAAUUUGCAAGACUUGCUUUGCUAGUUUGCUGUUGUGGGAACUCUGCCGGGAAAUGAGCUGUUGUGAGAAUUUAACUAUAGUCUCCAAGCAGAACCAAACUCUUUAGGUUGGACUAAAUAAGUAGUGCUAACAAUUCCCGUCUCCUGUACAGAUUUACGGACUCCCUCUUCAAACUAACAUUGUCAUUAAGCUCCUCCUGAAGAUUUACAUUUGCCUGAAGAAACCACCACCUACGCUUAUCUAAAGAUGACUCAGUAGCUAAAUGUCAGAGCUGUCCAUGCCAUUAAGGCCAACGACUUUGAAGGCUGGACACCCUGAAACCCCACCCUCACUUCCCCCUGUCUCUUCUUAUUCCUUUCUCACUCCCACUCUGACUUUGCCUUCAUCCACCAUCAUCCAUCUCCUGCACAUCCAGGCUGGUUUGAGGGCUGAUGUGUGCGUAGACCUUGUCAUUCACAUUAGGGUAACAAUGUCAGCUCAGGGCCCUUCCCUCUCUCCUUCUUUCUGUGCCUCUCUCAUGGCCUAGAUCAUUCUUCCUGUCACCCUCAUCCUGCGGCCAGAGAAGACCUUAUAAAGCAACAUCCUUCUCUUCCACUUCUGUCAAUUCCAACACUGUCAUUCAAAUCCUUGUCUGCCAGUGAGCAGAGUUUGCAAUGAAAAGCAAACACUUUAUUUUUAAUUGGGAUUUUGUGUGCAUGGAGGCAGAAGAUGAAAAUGCAGGGCAAUUAGGCAGCACUCUUUAACAACAGCCAUGAAUAAAAUUAAUAUCUAAAGUACUUUAAGGUUGAAAAUGUUGUGUCAGCAUGGUAUUUUGUUUCACAUUACCGAAUCAACUCAGCAACCAUCCAAUCUUUAAAAGUAUCCCAAAUUGCAGAUUUAUCUGCUGGCCUCUUGACUGAUGGCCUCUGAUGGACAGUUGCUUGAUUUUUAAUGAGCAGACUACUGACAUUGCCUGGAAGAGCAACAUUUCAAUGUUCAGUCAAAUGUUUCAUGCACGGCCCUGGGCGCCUUUAAGCGCCGAAAAGGAAGGUUUGCAUGAUAGUUAGCCCGAUUUGUAAUUUGGGUGAGUCAACAGUUUCAUUUUGCUCAUUGCAAGAGAUGACAUGAGAAUGCCCCCGGUAUAGACCACACCUAAAAACUGCCAUGACUCAGUUGUUUCAAAAUGACAUCUUCCUCUCUCCACUGCCAUUUUAAAGGAAAUGAAGCCCUUUGCUAAACACCGACUCUAUCCUUAGUGUCAUAAUGAGAAUGUGUUAGAGUUGCUACGUGCAUACAACACUUGGUGACAGUUUAGACAGGCCAGCAUUAACAUUGCUGACUUUGAACAAUGAGUGAGGCAAAGCCAGUCCUUUGUGCAAAGCCCUUGAUUGUGGAGUAUGCAGAGGCUCUAAAAUACAUUUUUUUUCUAUUCAUAUCAACAUAACGGUUUCCUUUAAAAACAAAAUUCACAGUGAUUAUUUUUUGGUGGCAGAUAUAAGUUAGGAUAUAUGCACACGCAUAGAAAAAUAUAUUUAGAUGUCAAGUAAGCUUAUUGAUGUGAUAUGUGUUUAGAAUUAGAAUGGUAUUCAUGCUUUUGCAGAUUGUGGCAUAGGCCAAUAAGUAGGGCAAAACUGUGUGAAACAUUGAACCCACGUUUCUUGAUCUCCCUGGUCACCAUCAGGUUUGUGCUUGCCCCAGUGAACAUUCAACGCUGUCGGUGAGUUUGGUUAAUAGAAGAACCAUCGACCGUUGAUUGUACCCUGUGGUAGGCAGUUAGCCAGAAAACAAAUAAAAGGUGCAGAAUCUGCACACAGGCUUUGGAAAUGACUCAUCGGCCCUUUUCUACAAGCAAGAUGACACCAUUUUGUUGUUGUUUACAAAAACCAACCACAAAGGUCACAAUCAACAUUCAUUGCUGUCGGUGGGUUUAACUGUAUAGAAGAGCUCACUGAACGAUGAAUGCAACUGUGUCCCAGAUUUCAGCUGACUUCACAACGAAUAAUGUCACGAUAUGCUGAUGAUGCUAUUGUUUAUAUCCGUGCCUGCCCUGCUCCAAGCCUUCCACCAAUAACAGGCAAACACGGACUGCGCAGACUGACAGGAAGUUCAGAUUGCAUCUCGAUCACACUGGCUGUGCUGGAGGGGUUUGAAUCUCGCAACAAAGGCAAAGCAGGAAUGGGGGGAAAAGGAGGGGUAAAGAUGCAGAGAUACUUGUGGGG